rnacentral:lncRNA from 1 species
GUCGCAACCUCCGGUUCCGCCACCAGAGCGCCACCCUCGGCUGCCCCAUGACCUUCUCCGUCUACCUGCCCCCGUCCCCGGCGUCCAAAAUUCCCGUGAGUGCUACGCCCUUCCACUCCGCUUCUCUCGGGGUCAGUCUGAGCUGCGGAAUGUGACGCGGUGUCGGAUUUCUUCAUUGCAGGUGCUGUACUGGCUCUCGGGCCUCACCUGCACUGACGAGAACUUCAUCAUUAAGGCCGGCGCUCAGCGCGCCGCCGCCGCCCACGGAAUCGCCCUCGUCGCGCCCGACACCUCCCCACGUAUGUCGAUACUAAACCCCUGCGCUCACCGCGUUCUGUUUCUAGGGUUUAUGCCUGUGCUGUACAUCUCGGUACGCUGUAAGUUUGGUGUGGUCACAAACCAGGAUGAUUACGAAUUUAGGAUUUCCUUUCUUUUGUUGUGCGAAAUUUUGGGGGUCGCUGUUUGAGAAUCGUAAUCUCACUCGUCAAAGAAAUCUCAGUGUGCAUUGUGGCGCCUAAUGUUUGCCUGCGUAGUUUGCCAGAUUGCUAGAUUUACAGCAAGGUUCUAAAGUUACAUUAAGUUGUCCGUAUUUGUUUGUCGUCCAACCACCUAGUAGCGAUUUGCAUCAUAUAUGGUCCAUUUACGCGGCCUAACAGGCAAUUAUGCGGUACAAGUUUUCAGCCAUUGAUUCAAGUAAGCUAGCUGAACCUGUCAAUUGAUGUUAAUAGCAGACUUUAUGCUGUGGACAUCAUUUGCCCUUAGUAGAUCCUUUUUUAUCACCUGUAAGGACUUGAAUUUCUAAAAAAUGAUUUGAUAAAUAAAAAUGCUGCUGUUAUUGGGAGCUUAAGGAACAAGGGUUACUACUUGAACUUUUGAGAUCUUACUGUCUUGUGUAAUCGGUAAUUACACCAUCAUUGAUCCUUUUUUUCUGGGCUUCAUAUGAUCGAAACAAUUUUAUUAGCAAAAGAGGUGACGGGAAUUUCUCCCUUAAGCUCUAGCCUCCCUAGGGUAUAGAGUUGAGUCUAGUAUCGCUUGUUUACCAUAUAACUAUGGUCUUGUUGAUGACUGACUGCAGAGUCUGUUCCUUUUCCUGCAAAUUAUUUGGUGUAUGCUCAAUGUGAUCUCACUUCUAUUAAUACUUUUCACCCUUUUGUCAUUUAGAAUACACUUUCUAUGAUUAUUUUGUUACUGUAAAUGAGUUCUAUUCUCUGAUUGCUCUUUUCCUUUGGUUCAUGCAGGCGGGUUGAAUAUUGAGGGAGAGUCAGACAGCUAUGAUUUUGGUGUUGGUAAGGAACAAAGAAUUGUAACUAAAAUAACCAUGCUAAAGCAUUGCAUUUUGUACAAAUAUAUGGUCUGUGGACUAGCAAGUUUCAUUCAAGGCUAAAGUGUUCAACUUGGCAAGUUAUCCUGUGAUAAUUUUACUAUGUCAUAUCCAUCUUCCUAAUUGUGGUGUCAUCAAUUCAGCAAGCUCUUAUAGGUCUAGUCUGAAUUAGUUCACCAUAUGGUGGUACUUGUUUAGGGCAUCUGUGAGAUUUGUUGUAGCUAGUGUGACAUGCAUGUAGCAUGUAUAGCCUGUUGCAUUGAGCAGCACCUUUCACUAGUCCAAUGUCUAAUAAAGUUAAAGGCAAACCAUGGGACGAUCAAGUGCCUUAUGAUGAUAUGAAUUAUGUAAUGGUAAUAUUGAGAUCUCAUGAACACAAAUACACCUAAAAUAUAUGCUAAAUAAAUCAUAUGAUCUAGAAUCAUGAUAACUUCCAAGUAGCAUGGGUGCUAAUUACGUAGAUUAAAGCCAUUUGUUCUUGUUUGGUGUUCUUAUUAGUUCUUACAUAUGUUCUUGUCAUGUAUUAGGACAUCUUUUUUCUGCCUAGUUAUCUACAGUGAUUUACAUCAGCAUUUUUGUCAAACAAUUUGUAAUAAAAAUUCAUUAAAUUACAAAAGGAGAAUAGAAAUCGUGCCAAAAAAACAUGUGGGUUCAAUUACAGUGGACCGAACUUGUUAAGCUAUUGAUAAAGUGACAAUAACAUCAACUUGCAAGAACUAAUCGCAUCAAAUUCUAUAUUGAUGUAUCUGGAGUUCAGGAUAAGGACACUGCUUACUGACUGUAACCCUGGUGGCUAAUAUUCUUAUGGUUCUAGCUAAACAAUUCAUCUGUGCCUUUUACCAAUUAUUGUGGUCUUGUAGCAUGGUCACCCUGUGUUAACCUAUGUGGAUUCAGCGUAUUUGAAAGGAAUGUGCAGGAUUGCUUUUUUGUAUUGCCCUGUGUACGAUCAUGAUGAUAUAGUAACUAUACAUAUCAUGGUGAGUUCUUUCAUGUGUUUUGAGGAAGAGAGGACAUUGACACUUCAUCGUAGCAAGUAGGUUCCAAUAGAAUACCGGUUAUACUAGCAGAUUGAAUGAGUUUUAUUUCUGCACAUUCGUUGAGAUGUCCUUAACACCUUUUUCCCAUUUUCUGACUAGGUGCUGGGUUUUAUUUGAACGCCACAAAUGAAAAGUGGAAAAAUUGGCGCAUGUAUGACUAUGUUGUGAAAGAACUUCCAAAAGUUCUGAGCGAUCACUUUGAACAGCUCAACACUACACAGGCAUCCAUUUUUGGGCACUCAAUGGGAGGCCAUGGUGCACUGACAAUUUACUUGAAAAACACUGAUAAAUACAAGGUAUUAUUCACAUUUUAUUUUCUUUAAGCCUAGAGACCUUUCAAGUUGGCAUCCAUGACAUUUAGUAUUGAAUCUGACCCUUCCUGAAUUUGUGUUUAUCUUAAAUUUCAGUCAGUAUCGGCAUUUGCUCCAAUCGUCAAUCCGAUAAACUGCCCGUGGGGUCAGAAAGCAUUCUCAAAUUACCUGGGCUCAACUAAAUCAGAUUGGGAGGUAUUCUUCUCUUUAGAAAUCAUUAAUUUAUCUCUGAUAUGUUGGAUACUUAUAAGUACCUGAUUGCUGUAGGAAUAUGACGCUACCUGCCUGAUUAAAAAGAAGAACAAAGUUUCAGCUCCUAUCCUAAUUGACCAGGUACUAUGUUGGCCUGUUGCUGCUAUCACGCUAUUGCUAUCCCAGCUCGUUUGUUUUCCUUUUAUAUUUUCAGAACAUGGAAGGAAGUAUUCGAUGUUUAAAAGAAAUGGAAGAAAGAUCUUUUUAGUCGAGUGUGGUGACAUGUGUCCAUGUGACCAAACCUGAAACCACCUGUUGCCGCACGUCUUUUUUGAUGGGUUGAGUAGUCAUUUAGUGCUUACAUCUGAUAUCUCUCAUUCUUGAAAGUGAAACCUCACUUAACCACCAAGCUCAUAUCAGAGCAGCCAGUAUAGAUACGUGGCAUGAGAUACAUUUGAAGAUCUACUUAGCGUUGUCAUAGAUGGAAAAUGUUUUCUUGAAAGUGCCACUGAGUCUGGCUCAAGUACUUUUACUCAGAUGUAUGUGACGACAUUAUAGAGUUGCCAUCUUGGAUAGUAGGUAUGUGACUAGUUGAUGGCAAAUGGGGACCUUAGAACAUUUUGAAAUGGGUUUUUCACAUUUUCUUUGUUAUGCUGUUGCACGUGAUUGAGCACAGCCAUUUUGAUGGUCUUCUACACUGUGGAUUCGAUUAGCUCAUCUAAUGAUGAGACCUCUACUGAUUAACUUAGCAUUUGUAGGAGUCCAUACAUGAACAGUAUUCAGAGUCCAUCAGGGUGACUUGACUGUAGCAUGGACAACUACUGCCUGAUUGGAUUGAUUUAACUUAAAAUGUUUGUUCUUGAUUGAACCGGGUAGAAAGUCUAGGCUCCUAAAGAGUAGAGUAGGGUCAAGCUUAUCAACUAUUUCCGAUAGAUUUUAGGGCUCAUAACUAUCGUACAUCACCCACAGUGAUGCUGUUUGGAGAAUUAAAUAUCUGAUGAAUCUUGAGGCUGCUACAAUCAAGUUUUUUGUUUAUUACAGAGUAGAAGUAUAAAGGUUAUUUCUGUGAAUGCUUAUCUGCUACAUUCUUGUUGACAAUUUGUUUAGGGGGAGGAUGACAAGUUCCUGGCUGAGCAGCUGCUACCUCGCAACUUUGAGGAGGCGUGCAAGGCUGUCGGGGUUCCUUUGAUCCUGCGCAUGCAGCCUGGAUAUGACCAUUCGUACUUUUUCAUCGCUACAUUUGUUGAUGAUCACAUUGCACACCAUGC